ensembl:lncRNA
CGUUCACAAGUGGACGCCCUGCUGCGUCAUUUGCGCGCCGCCUCGCUCACGAUGCGCUUCUUUGCCCGACAUCCUAAAGAUAGAUGUUCCGAUUUCAGGGCAGCGAAGCCGUCGACCAGAAGGAAGCCACUGAAAUGCAGAGAAGAGAGCGUGUGAGGGGUCACAGAUGAUCCGGUUUGCUGGUCUACAUGUUAACUGUUCAUACACUGCAGACAGAGUUCUCAGAGGCAGUCCUAUGAUUUUUGAGCAGACAGUCAGAUGGUUCCAUCCUAUCUGAUUGGUCUAGAGUUGGAGGAACCCGCAGUUUAGACUUGAACUCCCCUAAACAUCUUCUGUCUUCAGCCAAUCAGGACCAUCUUCAGCCUGAAGGACGGUGUGUGAAUGUAGAGGUGUUUCUGCUGUGUUGUGAGGACUGAAUGUGGUGUGUAUGUGAGUUCCUGAUAAGGCGGAAGUGAGGUGGAUGUGGUGUCUUAGAGAGGCCUUGAGUAUUGAUGAAGUGUGUGUGAGCAUGCAGUGAG